AGAGUUUGAUCAUGGCUCAGAACGAACGCUGGCGGCGUGCUUAACACAUGCAAGUCGAGUGCGCGCCUGUAGCAAUACAGGUGGCGCACGGCGCACGGGUGCGUAACACGUGGGUAAUCUGCCCUCUGAUGGGGAAUAACCCGCCGAAAGGCGGGCUAAUACCGCAUAACAUUCCUUGGAUUUCGGUCCGGGGACUCAAAGGCGUAAGUCGUCGGAGGAGGAGCCCGCGCACGAUUAGCUAGUUGGUAGGGUAAUGGCCUACCAAGGCUUUGAUCGUUAGCUGGUCUGAGAGGAUGGCCAGCCACACUGGAACUGAGACACGGUCCAGACUCCUACGGGAGGCAGCAGUGGGGAAUCUUGCACAAUGGGCGAAAGCCUGAUGCAGCGACGCCGCGUGGGGGAUGAAGCAUUUCGGUGUGUAAACCCCUUUCGAUCCGGACGAAUACCUCGCAAGAGGGGUGACGGUACGGAUAUAAGAAGCCCCGGCUAACUACGUGCCAGCAGCCGCGGUAAGACGUAGGGGGCCAGCGUUGUUCGGAAUUACUGGGCGUAAAGGGUUCGUAGGCGGUGUGGCAAGUUGGGAGUGAAAUCUCUGGGCUCAACCCAGAGGCUGCUUCCAAAACUGCUGUGCUUGAGUGUGAGAGAGGCGCGUGGAAUUGCAGGUGUAGCGGUGAAAUGCGUAGAUAUCUGCAGGAACACCCGUGGCGAAAGCGGCGCGCUGGAUCACUACUGACGCUGAGGAACGAAAGCUAGGGGAGCAAACAGGAUUAGAUACCCUAGUAGUCC
rnacentral:rRNA from 1 species